AAGGGACUCGUUGUUGUUUUGCUGAGAAAGACAAACCCUAAAAGCUUCUGCACUCCCUCCUUCCUUUCCUCCCUCGUUCUGAAGCUGGUGGUUCUUUUACGGGCUGCUUCUCCCAUGAGCCUUUGCAACUAGACGCUUCCUCCCUCCCCUCCCCCCCUAACUUCCUGCUCCACUCCCCAGUCUGCCAGUCAAUCAGGGGCACAGCUGCCCUCCUCCUCCUUGCUCCCCCUCUCCUCCUCCUCGCUCCCCCUCUCCCCUGUCCCUCGAUGGAGGACUCUGACGUGGAUUGCACAGCCAGCCUGCUGGCCUCGGUGCGUGAGCAGGAGAUGCAGUUUGAGAGGCUGACCCGCGCGCUCGAGGAAGAGAGACGCGGCACUCAGAGAGGGACGCUCACACGCGCGCAACAGGUAACACCCCCCCCCCCCGCUUCCUGUGCGCGUG